GACGAACGCUGGCGGCGUGCCUAAUACAUGCAAGUCGAGCGAAGUUUUUCUGGUGCUUGCACCGGAAAAACUUAGCGGCGAACGGGUGAGUAACACGUAAAGAACCUGCCUCAUAGACUGGGACAACUAUUGGAAACGAUAGCUAAUACCGGAUAACAGCAUUAACUGCAUGGUUGAUGUUUAAAAGUUGGUUUUGCUAACACUAUGAGAUGGCUUUGCGGUGCAUUAGCUAGUUGGUGGGGUAAAGACCUACCAAGGCGACGAUGCAUAGCCGACCUGAGAGGGUGAUCGGCCACACUGGGACUGAGACACGGCCCAGACUCCUACGGGAGGCAGCAGUAGGGAAUCUUCCGCAAUGGGCGAAAGCCUGACGGAGCAACGCCGCGUGAGUGAAGAAGGAUUUCGGUUCGUAAAGCUCUGUUGUUAGGGAAGAAUGAUUGUGUAGUAACUAUACACAGUAGAGACGGUACCUAACCAGAAAGCCACGGCUAACUACGUG
rnacentral:rRNA from 1 species